UACGUAAGUGGCAAGCGUUGUCCGGAAUUACUGGGUGUAAAGGGAGCGCAGGCGGGAAGCCAAGUCAGCUGUGAAAACUACGGGCUUAACUUGUAGACUGCAGUUGAAACUGGUUUUCUUGAGUGAAGUAGAGGUUGGCGGAAUUCCGAGUGUAGCGGUGAAAUGCGUAGAUAUUCGGAGGAACACCGGUGGCGAAGGCGGCCAACUGGGCUUUAACUGACGCUGAGGCUCGAAAGUGUGGGGAGCAAACAGG
rnacentral:rRNA from 1 species